rnacentral:rRNA from 1 species
UACGUAGGGUGCAAGCGUUGUCCGGAUUUAUUGGGUUUAAAGGGUGCGUAGGCGGGAUGCUAAGUCCGUCUUUAAAGCCAGCCGCUCAACGGUUUGGACUGGGACUGAUACUGGCAUUCUUGAGAGGGCUCGGGGCCGGCGGAAUUUGUGGUGUAGCGGUGAAAUGCAUAGAUGCCACAAGGAACACCGAUCGCGUAGGCAGCCGGCCAGGGCCUUUCUGACGCUGAGGCACGAAAGUGCGGGGAGCAAACAGG